rnacentral:rRNA from 1 species
GACGAACGCUGGCGGCGUGCUUAACACAUGCAAGUCGAACGGAAAGGCCCUGCUUUUGUGGGGUGCUCGAGUGGCGAACGGGUGAGUAACACGUGAGUAACCUGCCCUUGACUUUGGGAUAACUUCAGGAAACUGGGGCUAAUACCGGAUAGGAGCUCCUGCUGCAUGGUGGGGGUUGGAAAGUUUCGGCGGUUGGGGAUGGACUCGCGGCUUAUCAGCUUGUUGGUGGGGUAGUGGCUUACCAAGGCUUUGACGGGUAGCCGGCCUGAGAGGGUGACCGGCCACAUUGGAACUGAGAUACGGCCCAGACUCCUACGGGAGGCAGCAGUGGGGAAUAUUGCACAAUGGGCGGAAGCCUGAGGCAGCAACGCCGCGUGCGGGAUGACGGCCUUCGGGUUGUAAACCGCUUUCGCCUGUGACGAAGCGUGAGUGACGGUAAUGGGUAAAGAAGCACCGGCUAACUACGU